rnacentral:rRNA from 1 species
AUUGAACGCUGGCGGCAUGCUUUACACAUGCAAGUCGAACGGUAACAGGCCGCAAGGUGCUGACGAGUGGCGAACGGGUGAGUAAUGCAUCGGAACGUGCCCAGUCGUGGGGGAUAACGCAGCGAAAGCUGUGCUAAUACCGCAUACGAUCUGUGGAUGAAAGCGGGGGACCGAAAGGCCUCGCGCGAUUGGAGCGGCCGAUGUCAGAUUAGGUAGUUGGUGGGGUAAAGGCUCACCAAGCCAACGAUCUGUAGCUGGUCUGAGAGGACGACCAGCCACAAUGGGAAUGAGACACGGCCCAGUCUCCUACGGGAGGCAGCAGUGGGGAAUUUUGGAAAAUGGGCGCAAGCCUGAUCCAGCAAUGCCGCGUGCAGGAAGAAGGCCUUCGGGUUGUAAACUGCUUUUGUACGGAGCGAAAAGGCUCUCUCUAAUACAGGGGGCUCAUGACGGUACCGUAAGAAUAAGCACCGGCUAACUACGUGCCAGCCGCCGCCGUAACAC